rnacentral:rRNA from 1 species
GACGAACGCUGGCGGCGUGCUUAACACAUGCAAGUCGAACGGAAAGGCCCUGCUUUUGUGGGGUGCUCGAGUGGCGAACGGGUGAGUAACACGUGAGUAACCUGCCCUUGACUUUGGGAUAACUUCAGGAAACUGGGGCUAAUACCGGAUAGGAGCUCCUGCUGCAUGGUGGGGGUUGGAAAGUUUCGGCGGUUGGGGAUGGACUCGCGGCUUAUCAGCUUGUUGGUGGGGUAGUGGCUUACCAAGGCUUUGACGGGUAGCCGGCCUGAGAGGGUGACCGGCCACAUUGGGAUUGAGAUACGGCCCAGACUCCUACGGGAGGCAGCAGUGGGGAAUAUGGCACAAUGGGCGGAAGCCUGAUGCAGCAACGCCGCGUGCGGGAUGACGGCCUUCGGGUUGUAAACCGCUUUCGCCUGUGACGAAGCGUGAGUGACGGUAAUGGGUAAAGAAGCACCGGCUAACUACGUG